UGGGCCUACGGGACGCAGCAGUAGGGAAUAUUGCUCAAUGGGGGAAACCCUGAAGCAGCAACGCCGCGUGGAGGAAGAAGGCUUUCGGGUUGUAAACUUCUUUUGUCAGGGACGAAGCAAGUGACGGUACCUGACGAAUAAGCCACGGCUAACUACGUGCCAGCAGCCGCGGUAAUACGUAGGUGGCAAGCGUUAUCCGGAUUUAUUGGGUGUAAAGGGCGUGUAGGCGGGAAUGCAAGUCAGAUGUGAAAACUAUGGGCUCAACCCAUAGCCUGCAUUUGAAACUGUAUUUCUUGAGUGCUGGG
rnacentral:rRNA from 1 species